CUAUCUGAUCGCCUGGAUGGUGCCCAUCAGGACGCUCAAGCGUCGGGCUUCAUCGGGAAUGGGGAAGGGUGGACCCAAUCGCGGCACCCGAAGCCUCAGCCGCCCCCGCGACUGUAUGCGGAGAGCGUGCGUCACCGACGCCACUGGGCCCCACGGGCCUGGGAAGGCCGACGCCACGCCCUGACCCGCAAGCCAGGAAACCGGCCAUGCAGGCAAUUUUCCC
rnacentral:ncRNA from 2 species